GAUACGAGCUGUGAAGGCAUCUUCAACAGCUGGAAAGAACUUCGGUCAGGGAUGAGCUCGCGGCCUAUCAGCUAGUUGGUGAGGUAAUGGCUCACCAAGGCGACGACGGGUAGCCGGCCUGAGAGGGUGACCGGCCACACUGGGACUGAGACACGGCCCAGACUCCUACGGGAGGCAGCAGUGGGGAAUAUUGCACAAUGGGCGCAAGCCUGAUGCAGCAACGCCGCGUGAGGGACGAAGGCCUUCGGGUUGUAAACCUCUUUUAGCAGGGAAGAAGCGAAAGUGACGGUACCUGCAGAAAAAGCACCGGCUAACUACGUGCCAGCAGCCGCGGUAAUACGUAGGGUGCGAGCGUUAUCCGGAAUUAUUGGGCGUAAAGAGCUCGUAGGCGGUCUGUCGCGUCUGCUGUGAAAACCCGAGGCUCAACCUCGGGCUUGCAGUGGGUACGGGCAGACUAGAGUGCGGUAGGGGAGAUUGGAAUUCCUGGUGUAGCGGUGGAAUGCGCAGAUAUCAGGAGGAACACCGAUGGCGAAGGCAGAUCUCUGGGCCGUUACUGACGCUGAGGAGCGAAAGCGUGGGGAGCAAACAGGCUUAGAUACCCUGGUAGUCCACGCCGUAAACGUUGGGAA
rnacentral:rRNA from 1 species